rnacentral:lncRNA from 1 species
CGGUGUAGCACGAUGGAAUCUGGUGGCUUAAACCUAGCUGUCCACAUUUCACUAUCUGAAGAGCAGAAAAUGUGUUAAUAGGAGCCUGGUGAGUGGAGGAGACUGAAGAUGGAGAGAGAGCCUGGACCUCAACAUGAGCAUCUGGAGCCAUUUGGCAGCAUUAGGCUGUGACCGCUUAGAGAACCGAAAGGUGCAGAGCUUUAAAGGAUUAUGGAGUCUGAAGACCAAAUGGGAUGAUGGAGAACAGCUAUUCAGUGGUACAAAUGUAAAUGCUCCCAGGCCCGGGCAGAAAAGAGAAAACAUUUCCAUGGAAGAGGAAACAGGAAAUUCCAACAGAUCAGCAACAGUUGGAGUGCUAACCUGUCACUGGAAUGGGAAAAAAAAUGCUGUCGUUGACACAUCUUUUCCUUGUUUUUGACACAAAUUAGAAACACCACCUGGAACACAGCUGUGACUUGAUAAACAAGUGAAACAUUCUUUGGUGUGGUGAGGGGAAAACAAAUUUCUCAAAGGACACGCACCAUGGUGUAUGAGAGGACACUGGAGCCCAGCCAGCAUCUGACAUGCUGAAUUCAAAGUGCAGGUGAAAGUAGGACAACUGAUUCACAAGCUGGGAUGCCUGUGUUGUUGUUUGCCAGUGUGCGUGUGUGUGUUUUCCUGGCACCCUUCAUUCAUUCCCCAGCACAGUUGACAUCAGGUUGGAAGCAGUGAGUUCUGAGGGAGACUGCUAGAGGACCCAACUUGGAGAAUCAACGAUCUGCGAUGAAGAUAAUGAAGAUAAAGACAAUGUCAAUGUCAGCGUCCAAAAUCAUAAGGACCCUUUAAGAAGCUUCCAGAGCAGAAGUGACUGUGCAAGAAGGGCCAAUAAAGUCUAGGCAAUGCACGACCAGGCGCGGUCGCUCACGCCUGUAAUCCCAGCACUUUGGGAGGCCGAGGUGGUUGGAUUACCUGAGGUUAGGAGUUUGAGACCAGCCUGACCAACAUAGUUUCACCCCAUCUCUACUAAAAAAAAAAAAAAAAACAAAACAAAAGUUAGCCAGGUGUGGUGCUGCACACCUGUAAUCCCAGCUACUCUGGAAGCUGAGGCAGGAGAAUCGCUUGAACCCAGGAGGCGGAGGUGGCAGUGAGCUGAGAUUGCACCGCUGCACUCCAGCCUGGGCGACAGAGUGAGACUCUGUCUCAAAAAUAAAUAAAUAAAUAAAUAAUAAAGUCUAGGCAAUGCAGCAGACUGCAGACAAA